CCGGCCCGGGGGGAUCCGCGGCCCCUCCGCCCCUGCCCUGGGGUGGCCGCGGGUGCGGAGCGGGCGCUGCGGGAUCCGCGGCCCCGGAGCGCGGAGCGGGGCCCGGAUUUCGUUUCGUGCGGAUCUCCCUCGAUUUCAGCAUCUUCUGCGCGAGAAAAUGGGAAAGGCGGCCGGGCUGCGGCCGCUUCCUACGGGAUCCCCGCCGCCGGCAUCUGCCCUCGGCGCCCCGGCUCCAGCGGGAGGUUUUCUCUGAGGGAGCAGCUUCGGUUUGGGGCCUGCUCCCAGCUCCAGGAUAACUCAAGCAGGAUUUGUAUCAAUUCGGGAACAAACCCGGACCCGCCGAGCGGGGACCUUGCUCGGGCUGGAGGUGCCCCUGGUUUCCCGAGAGGAAAACUUUGUCCGCGGAAUGCCCAGGAGAGGAGAGCCGGGUGGAUUCCUUCCCGCUGGAUUCCGGCCGGGAGCAGCUCCGGGAAGGGGAAAAAAGGCAUUUUCCUUUUGAACGAAAGAGCCGCCGGCAGUGCGAGCGCAGGGGCCGGGCAGGGGCGGCUGCACCGCGCUCGGGGGCGCCGGGGAGGGAAAAGGGGAUCCGGGAAAUCCAACCCGGAGGGGAUCCCGCAAGGAGCAAACGGAAGAGGAGGGAAGGAGAGGGAGAGAGGGACAGCACAGACACCGAACAGCGGCCGCGGGUCAUUUCUGGGCUGUCCGGGGUGGCGCAGGGCCAGCUCUGUGCCCGCGUCCAUCGGCACUCAGAGUCUCCCGUGGCGGUGGCCGGAGCCGGGCGGGGUCCCCGGGACCCCCGGCAGGUGCUGUCCCCUCGUUAAUCGGUAACGCCACCAUCAAAGGGCACCGUGCGGAAAAUCAGCGCCGGCCCCGAGCGAGGCCGCGGGCACGGCGAGGCCGCCACGGUAAAAGUUGACCAGACUUCAAAGCGCUGCUUCAUUUCCUCCUCUUCCCCCGGGCACAGCUCCUGCCCGGCCCGGAUUCCUUCUCAUCGGCCAUCCAGGGCGGCCCUGAGGGACACAGAGGGGAAAUGGGGGUCUACUUAGGGCAGGGAGGUUCAGGAGGUCCUUCCCCUGCUUCUUGAGCUUUUAUUUUAUUUUAUUUUAUUUCUUUAAUUUUCUUCUGUUUGAGAAUAUUCUGGAUUGGAAUAAAUCACCCAGCGGAUGCCA
rnacentral:lncRNA from 1 species